CAAAAGGCGUGGUAUAAAAUAGUUCAGCAAGAGUAGGCUUAUAAGGUGAUCUAUUAAUGACAGGACCGGUUCUGCUUCCUUUCUGCAUCCCCCUUCUUUCCCUUAUUUGGAGUGGAUGUCAGAGCAGCGGUCCCCAGUAGGGAUUAUUCUAGAUUCUGUUUUAAGGUGUCGUGCAAAGUGUUUGAGAAGCAUGUGGUUUGCGAAUAUACAUAUUGCUGCCUUUAAGCAUUAUCUUCUCCAAUAAAUGUUGAAAGAUGUUCUUGUGUAAUGAGAAGGCACGACAGAUCUUUGCAGAAGUCCACCAGUUGCAACCCAAUUGCUACUGAUCUGCUUCUUGUGCUUCAGAAGCUUUAAGCUGAGUCAUCUGGAAAGUAAGGUGUUACAAUCCAGAUUCCAAGUUAUUUUCUUUUGUCAGUAUUUCAGGCUGUUACAGCGAAUAGCUGGGGGGGGUGAGUAUUGCUAACUUAGUACCGGCUGAAUGUUUUUGCUUACUAACAAUGGGUUUGAGACCCAAAGCAAGCAAGAAAGUAGGCUCACUUCCAGAAGCCACUGGACUAAGGCAACUUUAAGGCUUUAAGAUAAGAUAGGCAUUAUCUGGAAGAGAAAAAAGUAAACUAUUUUUGAUCACAAAGUAGCAGACUUAAAGCAGGGAGAUUUUGGUGGGGGACUGACAAACCAACCCUUAAAAUCCAAUGAAGACUGUCAGAGGAAGUGCUAAGGCUUGAUUUUAGAGGUUGCACAGAAUUGUUAGACACAUGAUGACUUUGUUUUGUAAACAGAUGUUUUGGAGAAAGGGAAUAGAAAUAGCAGGCAUGGGAUUAAGCAGUAGCGACCUGCACUGGACAGGUUACUGAAAUGAAGAAAGGGACCAGAGGCCAGGAAAUAAACAUCAGUCACUUGCUGAAAGUAGUUCCUGGGUCUGUUGUGUUCUUUGAAGCAUCAGGUCUGGGGGUUUCUGCAGAUAUCUCUAUUCUGAAAAGGAGGGCGUGAAAUUCACAGCAGCAGUUGUGUUACACAGAAUAGUCAUCGCGUAAAACAGGCAUUAGAAAUGAUUGUUUUGCUAGGUGCUCUUAAUUAUAGACUUCAAGUACGGAGAGAUCCUUUCACAGUCUUCUGUUAACAGCAGCUCGAGGUCCUGUUUGCAGAUUUGCUUAUCCUGCAGCCCUUUACCUGCAAGUGCUGGGAGCUGCUGGCCGUGCCGUUGCCUUGUCUCCUGCCCUUAUGUAAUGCCGCCAGCCCGCAGUUCAGCUACGGAGCAUCCUAUUCUGGAAGACAAAUCCCGGCUGCAGUUGGCUACCACAAUGGCAAGCACCCUGCUCUGUUCCAUGACGUUCCUGCUGGUGUUCGGGUUGGCCUCGGCUUACAGCCACGGUGCCAGGACUCCGGACAGGGUCUCUGAAGCUGACAUUCAGAGGCUGCUUCACGGGGUGAUGGAGCAGCUGGGCAUCGCCCGGCCCCGCGUGGAGUACCCAGCGCACCAGGCCAUGAACCUGGUGGGCCCGCAGAGCAUUGAAGGCGGUGCACAUGAGGGUCUCCAGCACCUUGGUCCUUACGGCAAUAUUCCAAACAUUGUGGCUGAACUGACAGGAGAUAAUAUACCAAAGGAUUUCAGUGAAGAUCAAGGAUAUCCCGACCCUCCAAACCCCUGUCCUAUUGGGAAAACAGUGGAUGACGGGUGCCUGGAGAAUACCCCGGACACCGCAGAGUUCAGCAGGGAGUACCAGCUGCACCAGCACCUCUUCGAUCCAGAGCACAACUAUCCCAGCACCGGCAAGUGGCUUGACUCUUUGAAUGGCCUGAAGAAGUGUUCUUGGCAUCCAAAAAGAUGUUCAUGAAGAGCAAGAAUUUACUCUUUGAGAAGAUUAACGGUGGUCCAAAAAGAAGAAAGAGGAGUGUGAACCCAUAUCUGCAAGGACAGCGACUUGACAAUGUUGUAGCAAAGAAGUCUGUUCCACAUUUUUCAGAUGAAGACAAGGG